ACCCGUUGUCCUGAUAGAAAGCAAAUCAGUAACGCUAGAACUUAAGACAAGAAUAUUGUAGCAAAUGGCUGAGAGACAGAAACUAUAUUACCUUACUUCCAGGCCCGUUCUGUUAAGUGACUGUGGCAAGGGGCCUAUUAAGUUAUUGUUUUCCAGAUUCCUGUGCCGAAGUAAAAGUAAGAGUGAAUCUGAUCCCUGCAAGGAAUGGAGACUGACUUUAGAAUUACCGAAAACAAUUCGAGAAAAUCUCAGUAUAGGAUUAACUUACAGAACUUCAAGGUUAAUCAGAUUUUCCAGUUCGGAGCCGAAAGAUUUUAUCUGAUUGAAGCUCAAAUUCCUGGAUAUAUACCAUCAGAAGCUUUUUUAAUACUACAAGAAACCUAAAACAUAUAUUUUAUCAAUGUUAUGAGUAUUACAGCUGCUGGAGAUGCUGAAGGCUGCCUACAUUCUGUAUUGCUCCAGUAAGUGAUGUGUUAUGCAAGUCCCUGCAGGAGAACAACUCAGUGAUAACACACUUGCAUACAUGAGACGCUAGAAAUGUUUGUUUGAAGAAUUGCCGACUUACAGUGUCUUGAGAUCGAGCAAAUCCCCAAAAGUUGGACUAAUGGAUCUCAGGUUGAUUUGUGAAAGAAACCUGCACAACAAGAAGAGCUGAGAUCCAGAAAUGUCAAAAAACUAUGGGCCUGACAAGGAUUGUCUUACAAUGAUGUAACACGGCUUCCUUCACAUUCAAUGUGGUUCCAAGGAAGAGGAGUGCAUGGGUCGUCUUGCCAUCCAAGGUACCAAUCAAACAGAGGAUAUACCUGUGGUAGAAGAAGCUUCUGGAGGGAUUUGGAGGAUUUCAUACACCUCAAGAGCGUUCACCUGAGGAUUGAACUUGAUUUUUUCGAAAGUG